GUUGACCUCGGAUCAGGUAGGGAUACCCGCUGAACUUAAGCAUAUCAAUAAGCGGAGGAAAAGAAACCAACAGGGAUUGCCCCAGUAACGGCGAGUGAAGCGGCAGGAGCUCAAAUUUGAAAUCUGACCUCCUCCGGGGGUCCGAGUUGUAAUUUGCAGAGGAUGCUUCGGGUGCGGCCCCCGUCUAAGUUCCUUGGAACAGGACGUCAGAGAGGGUGAGAAUCCCGUCUUGGCGGGCGCCCGCGCCAGUG
rnacentral:rRNA from 1 species